UUCACCAGUAGAUGGCAUGCCCAAUCACCACAUCCAAAGAUGAAGAAGUGGGGGUGUCAUGCUUGGUGUUGCUUCUCCCCACGCUAUGUCUCUUUAGCUAACUGAAGAGAAAAUAGUCCGACACCGAUUAGUCCCUCUUUACUCCAUACUCCAUCAUUUUAUGACAGAAUUAUCAAACGCGGUCAGUUGCGUUUUUAUUAUUAGUCCCCCCACCCCCCACCCCAGUGGCUUGUGGCUACCUAGCUAGGCUAGCUACUCCCCUGGCUAGCUAGCUGUCUGAGCUAUUGUUUGUUGUUGUUGCAGUCAAAUCUCAAACAAAUCACAGAUGGUGUAAAACAAGCCCUCCAAGAUGAGCCAAGGAGGAGGACAGAUGAGAACAGCAGGCCAGUGGAGCAUUUAGAACAGCAUCAGCCAGGGACAAAUGGUAGGGAAGAGGAGGAUUUAGGUGACCUAGGCACAAAACAAGUUAAACUACCCCAGUAUCCCCUUGACCGUUUUGGAUUGAAAUACUAGAAACACACCAGACAAGACACAGAGACAGCAACAGAAGAAUAGGAUAUCAUGGAGAGAGACACCAGACAAGACACAGAGACAGCAACAGAAGAAUAGGAUAUCAUGGAGAGAGACACCAGACAAAACACAGAGACAGCAACAGAAGAAUAGGAUAUCAUGGAGAGAGACACCAGACAAAACACAGAGACAACAACAGAAGAAUAGGAUAUGAUGGAGAGAGACACCAGACAAGACACAGAGACAGCAACAGAAGAGAGAGAGACACCAGACAAAACACAGAGACAGCAACAGAAGAAUAGGAUAUAAUGGAGAGAGACACCAGACUAAACACAGAGACAACAACAGAAGAAUAGGAUAUGAUGGAGAGAGACACCAGACAAGACACAGAGACAGCAACAGAAGAGAGAGACACCAGACAAGACACAGAGACAGCAACAGAAGAAUAGGAUAUGAUGGAGAGAGACACCAGACAAGACACAGAGACAGUAACAGAAGAGAGAGACACCAGACAGGACACAGAGACAGCAACAGAAGAAUAGGAUAUGAUGGAGAGAGACACCAGACAAGACACAGAGACAGCAACAGAAGAAUAGGAUAUGAUGGAGAGAGACACCAGAGAGACAGCAACAGAAGAGACACCAGACAAGACACAGAGACAGUAACAGAAGAGAGAGACACCAGACAAGACACAGAGACAGCAACAGAAGAGAGAGACACCAGACAAGACACAGAAAGUGACAGACGAGGGCAGAUGGAGAGAGAACAGAGGUGGAUUAAGCACACAGUAGACUGUAUCACUUCAGGGUGCUCUAUAUAUUCUAAUUAGUUGUAUUUAUUUGCACAAAUUAUAAGAGGUGAAAUACAGACAGUGAAAAAGUACAAGUAUUUGCAGGCGAUGUGAAGCCAGUGAAAUUACUAUUAAAACAAUUGUUAACUUUUACACUUUUUACAAACAGGACAGGAAAGAGAGAGGAGGGCAGAUGAGAGAGACAGCAACAGACUACUAAGAGACAGCAACAGAGGAGGGCAGAUGAGAGAGACAGCAACAGAGGAGGGCAGACGAGAGAGCAACAGAAGAGGGCAGACGAGAGAGCAACAGAAGAGGGCAGACGAGAGAGCAACAGAAGAGGGCAGACGAGAGAGCAACAGAAGAGGGCAGACGAGAGAGCAACAGAAGAGGGCAGACGAGAGAGCAACAGAAGAGGGCAGACGAGAGAGCAACAGAAGAGGGCAGACGAGAGAGCAACAGAAGAGGGCAGGCGAGAGAGUCAGCAACAGAAUACUAAGAGACCGCAACAGAAAGGGCAGACGAGAGAGACGGGGACAGAAGAGGGCAGACGAGAGAGACAGCAACAGAAUACUAAGAGACAGCAACAGAAUACUAAGAGACCGCAACAGAAAGGGCAGACGAGAGAGACGGGGACAGAAGAGGGCAGACGAGAGAGACAGCAACAGAAUACUAAGAGACAGCAACAGAGGAGGGCAGACGAGAGAGACAGCAACAUAGAAUACUAAGAGACAGCAACAGAGGAGGGCAGACGAGAGAGACAGCAACAUAGAAUACUAAGAGACAGCAACAGAGGAGGGCAGACGAGAGAGACAGCAACAUAGAAUACUAAGAGACAGCAACAGAGGAGGGCAGACGAGAGAGACAGCAACAUAGAAUACUAAGAGACAGCAACAGAAGAGGGCAGACGAGAGAGACAGCAACAGAACAGGGCAGACGAGAGAGAGCAACAGAAGAGGGCAGACGAUAGACAGCAACAGAAGACACAGGAAGUGAUGGAUAGAGGCGGAGGUGUGAGCACACAGACUGUAUCACUUAAAGCAGCUCUAUGGGUUCUAAUUACUGCACAGUGUAAUAUGUACUGUAUGUGUGAGAAAAAGAGUGUGUUCGGGAACUGUGGGAUUCAUUAAAGGGAUACCUUGGGAUUUUGCCAUUGAAGCCCUUUAUCUA